rnacentral:misc_RNA from 1 species
AACGCACGAGACCUGCGGACCUGCGGAGGGAUCAUUAACAAGUUCUCAAAGUCGGCCCCUCCUGUGCUGGUGGCAACACAUGUGCACGGUUGGGUCGCAUAUCCACACACCUGUGCAUAUCUGACUUGAAGUACCUUGCCCUCUCAUGUCGGGGGAGUCUGACAUUUGUCAAACUGGCACUCAAGUAUUUUUCACAUAAACCGAAUGUAAUGGAAUGUAUAUUGCGCAUAAUGUGCAAAU